UUUAUUUCUCCAACAUCCUGCUGUUAUCCUACUAUGAAUACGCUAGCUACAACAGUCCCACAUCAGUAUUAUGAACGUUCCGCCAGCUAACGCGGUCCGGACACCGGAUCAGUGAUUAGAGGUUGGCGUUCAACUAUUGUUUGCCAGCCAGUUAGCCGCUGGUAAGCUAACAAGCUAUGAAACAACUCCUUAUAAAACCGGAGGAAAGCAGCAGCAAUAUUUCAGUCCAAGACCUGUAUUCAGAACCUCCCACGCUGUUACACAAUGACCCAUUAUUCAUAUUACUGAACUAUAUGGUUAUCAUUGAAAUUUUCCUUGAAGAACCAGUGAACUCUUUGCGAACACAUUUUAAUUUAUGUGUUGAUUAUGUUUCGUAUCAGUAAUACAAGUCUAAAAAACUGAUUGAAAUGAUCAAGUUAACACAAUGAAGUAAAGAGUACUGGUAAUCUGCAGCUAUUUUCAUAAUUUCAAGGUGAAAUUCUGAUGUGUGAUUUUCUAGCUUUGCAGAUGUGGAAAUCCAAUGCACUGAUUUCUUAUACACAGAUGCUUUUGGUGUUUUUUGUUGUAAAAUAAAACAAGGCAUUUAUCACUGUUGGAAAUUAUUACAGGUAUUAUUUGUAAGACUUUCUAACAUUGUAUGGACAAAGCAAUAAAUCAGUUAAUGGAUAAAAUCAUUUGUAUUACAGAUGCUAUCAACAGCAUGUCUUGUUCAUUUUAUUUAGUUGUCGGCCUUGGAUGAUGAGGUCCAGUUACCAGGAGCACUAGUCUGCAGCUUACUGGUUCCGUCUUGCAGCUCCUCCACGCUGUCCUCCUCUCUACAGACCAAAUCAAGAAAAGGGAACCAGGAAGCUGCUGUGGAUCCUCUGCAGUAUCUGGAGAGGUCAGAGGAACGGUUCUUGGAACAGAUCGGAAGACACCAAGACGUGACCUCUGCCAUGCUCCAGAACAUCCAGAAGAUGAAUGAAAACCUUGGUUGCACUGAUGGGAUGCAUGGUGUCGGUGCUGGAGCAACUGUCCCAGAAUUAAACUGCAUUGUUGACUAUUGGCUUUUCUAGAAAAUAAAUCUUUUUUAGUACUUCACCUGUUUUGUAUUUUACUCAUGCACUUUGGAUGAAUGAACAGAAAUUUGUGAUGAGA